GAUGAACGCUGGCGGCGUGCCUAAUACAUGCAAGUCGAGCGAACAGACGAGGAGCUUGCUCCUCUGACGUUAGCGGCGGACGGGUGAGUAACAAGUGGAUAACCUACCUAUAAGACUGGGAUAACUUCGGGAAACCGGAGCUAAUACCGGAUAAUCUUUUGAACCGCAUGGUUCAAUAGUGAAAGACGGUUUUGCUGUCCCUUAUAGAUGGAUCCGCGCCGCAUUAGCUAGUUGGUAAGGUAAAGGCUUACCAAGGCAACGAUGCGUAGCCGCCCUGAGAGGGUGAUCGGCCACACUGGAACUGAGACACGGUCCAGACUCCUACGGGAGGCAGCAGUAGGGAAUCUUCCGCAAUGGGCGAAAGCCUGACGGAGCAACGCCGCGUGAGUGAUGAAGGUCUUCGGAUCGUAAAACUCUGUUAUUAGGGAAGAACAAAUGUGUAAGUAACUAUGCACGUCUUGACGGUACCUAAUCAGAAAGCCACGGCUAACUACGUG
rnacentral:rRNA from 1 species